rnacentral:lncRNA from 1 species
CCCAAUCAUUUUGUUAGGGUGAAAGUCCUGAGUUGCAACACAUAGCUGGCAAUAAGAAAAUAUUUGAGAGUUAAUAUUUCCUUUUCCCAUUUUCACUAUUUCAUCUUCUAUGCACUUUUAUUGUCGCUCUCUACAGGAUAAAUUUUGUUCAUAGCUUCAGCAUUGUUAUAUAUCUAUAAGAAAAGUUUGUAGUGUAGACUUUAGAAUUGGAUCAAAUCAACUACACAAGCUAACUUUAAAACACAUUGCACUAGUAUAAUUGGAUGGAACAUGUUAUACUGUUCUCUUUGGUUCCACCUCUUUAUUGUUUAAAUAACUUCAUUGUUCAGAUUUUAAAUAUGUUCAUUCAGCAUUUGUAUAAAACACAAAACACACAUAUUUUGUUUUUUAUAAUUCAACCAUUGAAAAAAGAACAUAUAUAAAUAUAUAUUUAGCUUGAAUAAAUAAAAAUAUUAUAGAAAAAGUAAGUAAGUAAGUAUAAUUGCUAAUACCUGAGGUUUGAGGGAAAGAUCCUGAAGAUCGUGGAUAAGGAGUAAUUGUUGUUCGCAGCAAGAGAAAGAUGGAUAUUAUAUGUGUGUGGAUGGUGAGGGGUUUGGCAACCAGGGACGGUGAAGGGUUUGACAACCAGGUACGGUGAGGGUUUUGGUGGCUAGGGACGAUGAGGGUUUAGACGACCAAGGAUUGGGAUGAGUAGAAGGCUAGGGACAACGGAGGGUUUGGCUGCCAAGGACGGCGAGGGGUUUGGCUGCUAGAGACGACGAGGGGUUUGGCGACCUGGGGGCAUACAAAGAUUUUUUGGGAGAUUACAAGCAAAAAUGGAAAAGUAGGAAUGGGGCUUGGAGGAAUAGAAUUGAAAAUUAAAAAGCCCCACCCCCCAUAUACCGACA